rnacentral:rRNA from 1 species
GACGAACGCUAGCGGCAGGCCUAAUACAUGCAAGUCGAACGGGAUCUGAGGGUAGCUUGCUACCCGAUUUGAGAGUGGCGCACGGGUGCGUAACGCGUGAGCAACCUACCCAUAUCAGGGGGAUAGCCCGAAGAAAUUCGGAUUAACACCGCAUAACAAUACGUUAACACAUGUUAAUGUAUUUAAAUAUUUAUAGGAUAUGGAUGGGCUCGCGUGACAUUAGCUAGUUGGUAAGGUAACGGCUUACCAAGGCGACGAUGUCUAGGGGCUCUGAGAGGAGAAUCCCCCACACUGGUACUGAGACACGGACCAGACUCCUACGGGAGGCAGCAGUAAGGAAUAUUGGACAAUGGGCGCAAGCCUGGACCAGCCAUGCCGCGUGCAGGAUGACUGCCCUAUGGGUUGUAAACUGCUUUUGUUAGGGAAUAAACCUACUUAUGUAUAAGUAGCUGAAUGUACCUAAAGAAUAAGGAUCGGCUAACUCCGUGCCAGCCGCCGCGGUAA